rnacentral:sRNA from 1 species
CUAUUAAUCGAUGGUGCAUUAUUCUAGUCAUACAAUGUUCUACGAGGGUGGGGCUAAAAAUCCACUAAAGGGCACAUCGUUGAAGUUUCUUGUAUUUGCGCGAAAUGCCAGUUUUGUGUGAGUAUAGGGAGUAAAGAAUCUAGGGUAUUAUGUAACGGCAUACAUAAGACUCCCUAUUUUCGCGGAGGCUUAAAUAGAAGAAUUUAAGUAUAACCUAUGGUGAGUGCCAAGACACAAAAUACAUAGAGUAGCCUGUCUCGAGUGAAUGUGUGGGGAUUAAUUUUCUAAAUGAUAUUUACGUUUUGGCCAAACAUAAAUAAUCAAUAUUAUGAAACCAUAUUUGCAAAAAAGACUAGUAAAACAGGUUUGUAUGUUAAGGAAAACUUCUAGGAUGUUUGCUAUCACUAGCAUGAAAGUCUAGGGAUUAAGGUACAGAUUUAAGUGGCGAUCUGGUGUCUAUGUAAAAAUAGAUGCAUCCCUUAAACGGAAACGGCUAAGACAGUAAUGUCAAGCGGGAGGUAGAGAAAUUCAACCAGACCUAAACUGUAAAAUUUACUUAGACUUUUACCAUCAAAAACU